rnacentral:rRNA from 1 species
CUAACUGGAGGACCGAACCGACUAAUGUUGAAAAAUUAGCGGAUGACUUGUGGCUGGGGGUGAAAGGCCAAUCAAACCGGGAGAUAGCUGGUUCUCCCCGAAAGCUAUUUAGGUAGCGCCUCGUGAAUUCAUCUUCGGGGGUAGAGCACUGUUUCGGCUAGGGGGCCAUCCCGGCUUACCAACCCGAUGCAAACUACGAAUACCGAAGAAUGUUAUCACGGGAGACACACGGCGGGUGCUAACGUCCGUCGUGAA